rnacentral:rRNA from 1 species
UGCGGAGGGUGCGAGCGUUAAUCGGAAUUACUGGGCGUAAAGCGUACGCAGGCGGCUAAUUAAGCCAGAUGUGAAAUCCCCGGGCUUAACCUGGGAAUGGCAUUUGGAACUGGUUAGCUAGAGUUUUGUAGAGGGUGGUAGAAUUUCAGGUGUAGCGGUGAAAUGCGUAGAGAUCUGAAGGGAUACCAGUGGCGAAGGCGGCCACCUGGACAAGAACUGACGCUCAUGUACGAAAGCGUGGGGAGCAAACAGG